GCGGCCUUCUUCGUUGCACGCUUUUCCGAGCACCCGAGAACGCAGCCUCCUGGGCAGCUCUUUCAACCUGGAACCAAUGGCUAUCCCAUGGUUCAUGCAGACGUCGUCUGUUUCCCUGUGCAAUCCGUUCAGCUCGGCGACGCACGCCUCCAGUGUCCUUUGAAUUGUACCGUCCAUUGAAAGAUCGCCAGCCGUUCUUCCUCUCCUGUAACGGUUCAAUUAGUGUGUCUCUGUGAGUUGCUUACCUCGCCACUGUAAAUUGUAAGUUCAACUAUGAACCACGGCUUACUAGAUUAUAACGACCAUGUCAUAGGCACCCGUUCCCAGCGCCGCAUUUGGAAGCUAGCGUUGACGCUACUCAUCGGCCCGGUUAUUACUUCCUCGAUUUCUGCAAUAAUUUGUACUUCAGCUUACCUUAGUAUUUUUGUACAUGAGGUGGAUGUCCCACGGGAGAUGCAUCUUUCUAAAGUUGAUUAUCAUCAUCGUUCUACACGUUUUCGUAAGAGCUGUUGCUGUCGUCUGCUACGGUAGUUGUGCGUCUGCUUCUGGGCGUUCAAAAUUCAAAUUUGUAUCGUCCAAUCAUGAUACAGAUCUCGUGGGCUGGUGAGUAGCGCCCCCUAGUGGAUUGUACGGACGGGCUCCUCAUAGGGGUUGUGGAUUAUGAUAUGGUCUUUAUAAUCAAGUAGGUCGUGCUAUGGACAUACAUUUCUGCUUGUGUGCUACAGCUGCUCGUUCGUCCUUUGUCCUGGGCAGACACCGCGGCUUCGCCAUGCCUCUCUUGGGUCCAGUGCUCGUUGCACGAUAACCGCGUCUCACUGGAAGCGAGAGUUGUAAUGCCUGAUUUUGGUCAGAACUUUUCACAUUUCUUCUCUUUCCAGGUUUAGACUUACAGUUCAUCCUCUCCAGCUCCAUUUGAAUUUGGGUGGCACAGUCUGCAAUAAAAGAAAUUAUGACCAGGGU